CGGUAAAAACCGAGAAGUUCAUGUUAAAGACAUAUUAAGACAAGUAUAAUUUACUUUAUUUUAUUUGUGUUUUUAAAUAAGUAAUUACAAAUGUUUUCAUUUUUAGAGGUACAAAAAUAUGAUGAGAAGUAAACGUGAUUCUCUUUUAGAUCGAUUGCGCAAUGUUACUUAUGAAAUGCGAGAAAAUGAGGUCAAUUCAUUUAUUGACAAGACAUGUAUUAAGUGAGAUAAUUUUUCAUUUCAUGUUACUUUGUAUAUUUUUGGAAAAUUUAAUUAUACAUUUAAUAAUGUUUAUAUAAUGAAAUGUUUGUAUUCAUACAUUUUACUUUAACUCAGUUUUAGUUAUUUUUACUGAGGUUCUGUUUAUAGUAGACAGUGAUGGUACCAGCAUUUUUUUUUCUAAGGAGGGCCAUCUGAUUUUUAUAUGACAGAAG
rnacentral:lncRNA from 1 species